ensembl:lncRNA
AAGGUCAUUCAUUUUGACCUGCAUCUGUACUCAGGCUGGAGCGGAUGUGAAUGUUCUUUUUCAAUUUUGCACCCAGUUUUUUCUUUUCUUUGAAACUUAUUCCGAAAAGGCUAUUACAUUAAUGUUCAGCUAUGCUUUAUUUUAACAAAUAAGUUCUCUGUGAGUCGACAAAAGUCUGUCUGUUUUGUAGUUUUACCAUAAUAUUGAUACAGGCACCCUUUAAAAAAAAAAAUGAAAGCCUUGAAUUGACACAGCCCAGUGCGGUUUAGUGUGAUGGAAGAAAAAAUCAAAACAGCGUCCCUUCUAAUUCCAAGUGAUUUAUUUCGAGAUUGGCAUGCAGAUGAUAACAAAUUGUACCCAUGCAGACGAGGUCACAGGAGUGUACAUUUUUGUCACAGACAUGAGGUAUCGCCAUUUUAUGCACCUCUUCAAAACAUGCUCCAACUACUUCAUCUCCAUGUAAAAGGCAACCGUUACAAAUGACAAAUUAUAGGCAUCCUAUCGCCUGCAAUAGAAUUGUUUUCUUGAUUUGAUUAUUGUACUUUAAAAAAAAAAAACACAUUAAUUGUUUCUCUAAUGAAACGUUGCUGCUCAGGACACAAACGGGGGGAUUAUCUUGACCAGACACACAUCACACAGAUACCAUGUGGCUUUGCUACUAGCGAGAGGCAAUGGAAGCUAGUCAAGGACUACACGUGACCCAAGAACACAAGCAGAAAGCAGCUUUCUCCGGAGCGGAGCGAGGCCGUGCCAGACCAGGUCCAGAGCAGGGCCAGACCUGGGCCAGGCCCGGUUCCGGAGAUAGCUGCUUUCUGGACAAGCGUAACGGCUAGGCUUGUGUUAGCCAUCCAGCGCACAGAGUGUGGACAUGGGGGGCAGUGUAGGGGGGGGGGGGGGAGGAGGUGGCGGCAGCCAUUUUGUGGUGAAUGUGUGAACAUACAAAGGGCAGGGCAUUGAUCCUCUGUGGAGGACUUCCUUGCUCAGCGGGAAAAUAUGAAACACACCAGUCAGACAGCAGGGAGAUGGGAGCCGCUCACUGAAAUAAAUGAGUCAAGCCCUGUGUUUUAUAUCACAAAGUGCGUUUUAAAGUUAGCUCGCUAUCUCCGGAAAGUACUGAGACUGACCUUUGACCUUCUGUCAGCGGUGCAUGACUCAUGUUAAAACACAAACAGGGGUUCGAGGCUUUGUGAGUUUGAAGCCAUUGACCGUGAAGGUAUUUUCUUCAGUAUGUUUACCAGAGUUAGCCAGCUAACCGCUAAAACAUGGAGCCAGCCUGGUGAUAUAACUUCUGGUUGCGGAGGAAGGCAGGGACUCACAAAUCCUACCCUGGUGUGUUUUAAAAAGAAAGUCGCCUCCUCGUCCAAAUCUGAGCAGAGGAAGUGGUUUCCUAGAUUGCGUUGCUAUUAGGCUCCCCAGUGCUUACUUGAUAGCCACUUCACCAAGGCUACCCAGUAAAGCCCAAAACGCACCAACUCACCAGAGUAGGAGAUGAAGGCCCCUGCUUUGCAGUACCCUAUGGAGUCGAACCCCACCCAAGGACUCAGUAAUGUACCCUAUGGAGUCGAACCCCAUCCAAGGACUCAGUACCCUAUGGAGUCGAACCCCAUCCAAGGACUCAGUACCCUAUGGAGUCGAACCCCAUCCAAGGACUCAGUACCCUAUGGAGUCGAACCCCAUCCAAGGACUCGGGUGGAGUCUCCGCAACCAGGGGGGCGGUGCAGGACAGAGGAGUAGGAAUGGUCUGGAAGAGGUGAUCCAUGCUUGGGGUACUCACCUUUCCUCCAUCUAUCUAUCCUUCCUUCAAUCCAUCCAUUACCAUCCCUCCAUCCACUCCUUCUCUCCUCUCCUUCCUUCCACCAGCCAAGCUGUUUAGGACACAUGUGUGUGUGUGUUAGAGUGUUUUAUGUUUUUUAUUUAUUUUAUUGGUUGAAGAUGGAGAGGGGCUUUGGAGAGAGUGUGUGUGUUUGCACGUUUUGCCACCACAGAGAAAAAGGGAGAGUCCUCACAAAACAUUGAAAAACAAAAAAACAAUCACAGAUACACACACAGACACACACACAGGUAUAGUACACGCUCUAUAACAGGCAGAUGCAGACUGAGGAGAGAACUGGUUAGGAUGGGAUCUAGGGAUCUGUUUGGGAUGGGAUCUGUUUGGUUUGGGAUCUAGGGAUCUGUUUGGGAUGGGAUCUGUUUGGGUUGGGAUCUAGGGAUCUGUUUGGUAUGGGAUUUAGUGAUCUGUUUGGUAUGGGAUCUAGUGAUCUGUUUGGUUUGGUAUGGGAUCUAGGGAUCUGUUGGGUUGGGGUGCGAUCGAGGGAUCUGUUUGGGAUGGGAUCGAGGGAUCUGUUGGGGUGGGGUGUGAUCUAGGGAUCUGUUUGGGAUGGGGUGUGAUCUAGGGAUCUGUUUGGGAUGGGAUCUAGGGAUCUGUUUGGGAUGGGAUCUAGGGACCUGUUUGGGAUGGGAUCUAGGGAUCUAUUGGGAUGGGAUCUAGGGAUUUGUUGGGAGAUUUGGGGCCAAAGGAAGGGGUUGUGAGGUCCUCCUGCUAAAUCUAGUCUAAAUGCCACGCUAUGUUUUUCUGUACUACUUGUGUAAUAUUGCAACUCUUGAGAAAGGUCAGGACGUUUACAGGAGAGAUUAUGGCGAUUCAUACCAGUGGAAUUCAGUUGACUAGAAGGUUCCAUGAGUGAGCAAGGAGGUAGUGGACACCGACAUGGACAAGCUGGAACCAUGUACAGGCAUUUGGACAAGGCAUACGUGAACAAAUUCAAGGUGGUCCACUAGACUGAGGGGAAUGUGUGUGUGUGUGUGUGUGUGUGUGUGUGAGAAAGGGGGCAGUAUUCUGGAGUUGGUGCCAAGGGAGCUGUGUAUGGCAGCAGGAGGAGGCAGUUAAAGUGAGUGCUGGUGCAAACAGGGGUAAUACGGAGGGGUUGGGGGCAGUUUUGCUGACCCCAAGAGCACGUCGACGAUGGCGGCGGAGAGACUGGGGUGGGGGGUGUGGGGGGGUUGGUGGAGGGGUAGGGUGUUUCAGGCGAAAACGGCGGAAAAGGAGUAGCUGUUCACUAGCAAAGGUAAAAAAAUAAUAAAAAAAACCCAACCCAGAUGGCAGCCAACGCUGAAACAGAUCUGGUUUGUGAUCUGGUGCGGAUCUGGUAUGGAUCUGCACCGGAUGAAGCCAGAGCUGUUCCAGAGUUAGCCGAUAUCCCGGUGGGUAAGGCAGACGGGGGGGGAUGGGGGAGGAGGCAGGGGGUUCACAUGGAGCCAAGCAGGUUUAACACCCCCAGAAGAACCUCACCAGCUCACUCGCUUCGGAAGAACACACAGGGGCUUUCUCUCGCUCACUAGCUCGUUUGCUCGUUCGUUCGUUCUUUCGCUCGCUCGCUCACACACCAGCGGACGACCAGCAGGCGGCAGCAGUCAGUCACACAGUCAGUCAGAAGCCGGGCUGAGGGCACACACUCGAGUCGGGGGGGGGGGGGGACCUCAUGGGAGGUUGCCGUGGCGAUCCAACAUACCCCAUAACCGUGGUCACACCAAAGCCCACGCAGGAAGUACAGAGGGG